GCUAUCGAACUUCCAUAUGGGGAAAGUCCACGCAUCGUCGUUACAUUAAAAAGAAGAGGAGGAGCCAAAGUUAGGGUUUUGAUGCAAGAAAUUAGGGUUUCUAACUUUUCAUGAAUGGUUAGACUUUGAAGAGGAGGAUUGUUGAGAGAAGAAAGGAAACCCAACAUCAACAAAAAACGGUAUACCCAAAAACACCACAACAAACCCAAGAAUCUCGACAACAUCCCUCACCCGCAAAAGCACCUGCAAGAAGCAGAAAUUCAACCUUUUCAAACCCUAAAAUACACCACCACCUCCACCUCGGCCUCUUCUUGGAAGCAGAACCACCGCGACGGCACCGUGGCGUCGAACGAUUCUUCCAGUCUUAAUCACGUACAGCCGGUCCCACAGAAUGAGAACAAGUCAGCACUACCCGGGUACGUGAGAUUUGAUGAUGGUAGUAAAGUAAAAAUCAACUUGAAUUCAAGGUCAAAAUCUGAAAUUAAACAGCUAAAGAGGAAAUUAGCAAGUGAACUUCAUCAAGUUAGAAGCUUGAAAAAGAAACUUGAAUCUAAAGAAAAGUUUACAACUUCUUAUAAUGAUAAUCAUAAUAAUAGAAUAGGUAAUAGCGGUGGUGGAGGCGGUGGUAACAGAAUUGGAACUCUUGCUAGGGUUAAUUCUGAAGUUAGUUAUGUGGGACCCACCAAUUCGCGGCUGUUGGAUGGUGAUGAGAAGAAGAAAACCCAGAUGAAUUCGAACAAGAAGUUGAAACAGUCUGGCGGUGGAGGGAAGGACGGUGGUGCGGGAAAGGGGGUGGUGGUGGAGUUUAGCAAGGAUUUGGUUAUAGGGUGUGGGGAGCUGUUAGGGAAGUUGAUGAAACAUCAAUAUGGGUGGGUGUUUAAUGAGCCAGUGGAUGCAAAGAAGUUGAAGCUGCAUGAUUAUUAUAAGAUUAUUAAGCAUCCCAUGGACUUAGGGACUGUGAAGAGUAGGUUGAGUAAGAAUUGGUACAAGUCUCCAAAGGAGUUUGCUGAGGAUGUUAGGUUGACGUUUAAUAAUGCUAUGAAGUAUAAUGAGAAAGGGCAGGAUGUGCAUGCUAUGGCGGAUAAGUUGUUGAAGAUUUUUGAGGAGAAUUGGGCUAAUUUUAAGGCCAAAACUAAUUUUGAUAAGAGGGGGGAGAUGGGAUUUGAUGCUAGCUUGCCAACACCUGCUUUGAAGAGAGCUCCAGGUCCUCGUGCUUCGUCUCCUGCUCACGGUCCUGCUUCAAAGAGAGUUCCAGGUCCUCGUGCUUCAUCCCCCACCUCUGGUCCUGCUUCUGCUUCUGCCCGUGCUCCCAGUCCUGCUUCUUUUCCACAGACAAUGCCUUUAGAGACAAAAACUUUGGAUAGGACAGAUUCUUUGACGGAGCUUGUACAUUCGAAGAUGAAAGCUGCAAAAACUGUUGCCAAUCAAGGCAGGACAUCAGUGUUGAAUAAGCCUAAGAAGAAUGAAACUGUCAGAGGCGUGAUGACAUACGAGGAGAAGCAGAAAUUGAGUAUACACCUGCAGAGUUUGCCUUCAGAGAAACUAGAAUCAGUUGUCCAGAUUAUUAGGAAGAGGAAUCCUGGGCUUUUCCAACAAGAAGAUGAGAUUGAAGUGGAUAUUGAUAGUUUUGAUAAUGAAACACUUUGGGAACUUCAUGGUUAUGUAACCAAUUACCAGAAGAGUAUGGGCAAGAAUGAGAGAGAAGCUGAAGUUGCUCUUCAAGGGAGAGAAGAAGCUGGCCAUAAAAUGCUUGGGACUAAUAUGACAUCUGCUACUGCAGAGGCACCAAAAGAACUUGGAUCGGUACAAAUGACUGUUUCUGCAUCUUCUCCUGUUAAAGAUCAUAGGCAGGGCCAUAGUAUGAGCAGAUCAAGUAGUUCAAGCAGUUCUGGCAGUGAUUCCAGAUCCUCUUCAAGUGGCUCUGAUAGUGAUUCAGGAUCUGGGUCAGAUGCAGCUCAAUGACAUAGGAGUUAGUAGAUUCAAGGUAGGGGCGUCAUCCUUGGUUAGAAUCUAACCAUCUCUUGUUUCUCUAUCAUCCAUGCUGAUCCGCAGAUUUAAGUUGGUCUGUAUGCUCCUUUGGAACAUACCUGACAAUUCUUGGGAUGCUGAUUUUGCCUGGGAGAAUCCAAGUUUCACCUUCGGUUGAUUCUAUAUGAAGUGAAAUGUCUUUAUCUUCGCAGUAAAACGCUCAAUGCUGGGGGUCUUACCGUACUUUUGUAGGCGUGUGAUCAUUCAGGGCGAAAAACAUAUCCUCUAUGACAGCAUGAUUUUUACUUGUAAUGGAAUGGUCUGGUGAAAUUGAAGUAAAAAAAGGGUCGGAAGCACUAGUUUCUUA